GAGCACAGUGGAGAUUAAUGUAUUAACUGCUACCUGUGAUCCGUCACCCGUCAGACUUGGCUCGGUGUCACGCGUCGUCGGGGGAGACGGGCGACCGUCUGGCGCAGAGAACAGAAGGAGGGACACCAAAAAGUUGACUGCGCCGCUUCGUUCCGUGCAUCAUGAUAAAGACUGAAUCACCCAGAAGAACGGUCCUGCAGCGGAGACAGAUGUUCCCCUCCCUGAUCCUUCCACAGACAAGAACUAGUCCGGUGGAAAAACCCUCCCAGUGGGAGGUUAGUCCUGUCUCCACGCUGAAAAAUGCCGAAAAAAUAAAAAGACACAAGCUUCUGCAUACAGCAGUGUUAUGAAUCAUGUGGCCAGGCAACAAAUCCCCCUCAGUUUGUAAAGGCUUACAGCACCGCUAGGUCCUAAAGCAAAAAAAGAUACUCAAUCCUUUGCCUGUUUCUGGAAGUUGACUUUCUUCUUUCUCAGGUCAAAGUUCACGAGUUCCAGACACCGUCGCCUGGACGGCUGCGAAUCAUCUCAGACCUUUUACUUGAUGCGGUGUGUUCAGGGCACUGCUGUAAUACAGUACGUAAGGAUUUUACCAGUACUA
rnacentral:lncRNA from 1 species